rnacentral:misc_RNA from 1 species
GUUAGUGGGCCCAUGAAAACUAUAAAAAGGACCCCGCAAUCGCUUGCUUUUAAUUUAUUAAUGACAUGGACACAUUGCAACUAUAUCAAUAACAAAGUGUAUGCAUUAUUGCAACUUCACAAGAGAGAAUUUUUUUCUUGCAUGGGACCCAAAACCCAAAAGGGUAAUUUACUAACCCCUCUUGGAUUUUUGGACACUCCAACCAAAGGGUACCCUACACUUUCUUUA